CCAAUAGCGUAUAUUAAAGUUGUUGCAGUUAAAAAGCUCGUAGUUGAACUUCGGGAUUUGCCCAUUGGUCAGGCUUAACUGUCUGCACUGGUGUGACGAGUUCCUACCUUCUGAGGAAUCUCCAUGUCAUUCAGUUGGUGUGGGGGGAAAUCAGGACUGUUACUUUGAAAAAAUUAGAGUGUUUAAAGCAGGCGUCCGUC
rnacentral:rRNA from 1 species